rnacentral:rRNA from 1 species
CAACUUUUAGCAACGGAUCUCUUGGCUCUCGCAUCGAUGAAGAACGCAGCGAAAUGCGAUAAGUAAUGUGAAUUGCAGAAUUCAGUGAAUCAUCGAAUCUUUGAACGCACCUUGCGCUCCUUGGUAUUCCGAGGAGCAUGCCUGUUUGAGUGUCAGUAA